rnacentral:rRNA from 1 species
CCUACGGGCGGCAGCAGUGAGGAAUAUUGGUCAAUGGACGAGAGUCUGAACCAGCCAAGUAGCGUGAAGGAUGACUGCCCUAUGGGUUGUAAACUUCUUUUAUAUGGGAAUAAAAUGUUCCACGUGUGGGAUUUUGUAUGUACCAUAUGAAUAAGGAUCGGCUAACUCCGUGCCAGCAGCCGCGGUAAUACGGAGGAUCCGAGCGUUAUCCGGAUUUAUUGGGUUUAAAGGGCGCGUAGGUGGAUUGUUAAGUCAGUUGUGAAAGUUUGCGGCUCAACCGUAAAAUUGCAGUUGAAACUGGCAGUCUUGAGUACAGGAGAGGUGUGCGGAAUGCGUGGUGUAGCGGUGAAAUGCUUAGAUAUCACGAAGAACUCCGAUUGCGAAGGCAGCUUACUGGACUGCAACUGACACUGAGGCUCGAAAGUGUGGGUAUCAAACAGGAUUAGAUACCCCUGUAGUC